AGAUAAUAGAUACCCUGGUAGUCCUGGCCCUAAACGAUGUCCACUAGAUCGUAGCAGCUCUGACGUUGUUAUGGUCGAAGCAAAGUGCUAAGUGGACCGCCUGGGAAGUACGGUCGCAAGGCUAAAACUCAAAGGAAUUGACGGGGGCUCACACAAGCGGUGGAGCAUGUGGUUCAAUUCGAAGCAACGCGCAGAACCUUACCUGGGCUUGACAUGCUAGGAUUAUCCCUGUGAAAGCAGGGUAGGCCCUUCGGGGUACGAACUAGUACAGGUGCUGCAUGGCUGUCGUCAGCUCGUGUCGUGAGAUGUCGGGUUAAGUCCCUUAA
rnacentral:rRNA from 1 species